rnacentral:rRNA from 1 species
AUUGAACGCUGGCGGCAGGCCUAACACAUGCAAGUCGAACGAGUGGCGGACGGGUGAGUAAUGUCUGGGCAACUUCCCUAUGGAGGGGGAUAACUACUGGAAACGGUAGCUAAUCCCGCAUACCAUCGGAUGUGCCCAGAUGGGAUUAGCUAGUAGGUGGUGUAACGGCUCACCUAGGCGACGAUCCCUAGCUGGUCUGAGAGGAUGACCAGCAACACGGGAACAGAGACACGGUCCAGACUCCGACGGGAGGGAGAAGUGGGGAAUAUUGCACAAUGGGCGCAAGCCUGAUGCAGCCAUGCCGCGUGUAUGAAGAAGGCCUUCGGGUUGUAAAGUACUUUCAGCGAGGAGGCGUUACUCGCAGAAGAAGCACCGGCUAACUCCGUGCCAGCAGCAGCGGUAAUAC